GCGGGCGUGGCGGAAUUGGCAGACGCAGCGGACUUAAAAUCCGCUUCUGGCAACAGAGUACCGGUUCGAUCCCGGUCGCCCGCACCA
rnacentral:tRNA from 1 species